rnacentral:lncRNA from 1 species
AGUUACCCCUGGGGACUGGGGCAUGCCAUCAGGUGGCCUGUGUACUGUAGGGGCUGGAAGCUUCCCUUUCUUCUCCCUGGGAAGGGGUCACCGAGGACUGAGAUAGUUCAGAAUGUGGAAGCUCACUGCUCCCCUUGGCUUCUUCGCCACCCCUUCCCCUCUCUAGCCCUGCUUCCAGUCUGUAGUUCACCUGCUUCUAAAACCACAACCUUCAUCGUGAACACAGAUCCAAGCUGAGAUACUCGAAAAUCACUCCUGAGACCCCAAGACAGGUGGAAGGACGUUGGACCCCAGGACCUAGGAUUGUGCAAUCAACGCCCCGCCCCACAGCAGACCCUCACUCCCAGUCCUUUGGCUCCCAGGACCCAUUUUUCU